rnacentral:lncRNA from 1 species
AUACUUGUCUGGACGUGCUUAUCGGCCGCUCAGUCGCCUCUUGAAGAAGCGGGUUUGAGUCGGUUUCUCUUGUGUCUUAAAAGUGUGCUUGCGCUUUGUGUUCGUGUUUUGUGUUCUGCCAGUGCUGCUGAUUACGAAGAUGCGCUAUACUCAAGCGAAAACGUGUGGGUUCGUAUCGCGGAGCACUCGCCAGCCUAUGCAUGCAUGUCGUAAGAACUGAGUGUGAAAGAAUUCCAGACAAGCCUGUCGUCAAUGAUGGCUCGUGGAAAAGUUGGCUACUGAAUGUAUGGCAGCUGCGCAUGGCUUGUUUCCUAUGGAAAGGGAACUUCCCUGAGCCACCUGGCUGCUGUAUUGAAGUAGUUCGCAUGUUCAGGAUGUUCAACAUUAAGGCUUUUGCUUUUCUUUAAAAAAGUCAGUGCUGUAAGUUGUGUGUGUAAAAGCCACCUUUGCAGAUAGCUAAGUGUUCAGGGGAACACAAUGUGUGCAAUAAUUAUCACUGUCAGCCUUGCCCUUGAAUAAGAUUCAAUAAUGAUUUUAUUAGCGACUGCAGAAGGCGGCCAUGCACGUAUUAAAUAUUUUAGCCAGUCACAUUCUGGCAUGCCUGUGCUCAGAUAUCCCGCUGGAAAGUAUAGUUGUGGCUUGUAUCGUUAUGCAUGCAGGACAGUGAGCACUAGCACACAGCUACUACUCCCUGAGGUGCGGCAUAUAAUCUGAUCAUGGAUUGCAGCCAUAGACAAGCAUUAUAUUGGUUGCCUUUUACUACCGGCUGGAAUAGCAAGCAGUGACUGCUUGUCUCACCAGGGAGUAAUGUUUUGGUUAUCAUCGCUGCCUUGCAUGCGUAAUCAUGGAAAGCACAAUAAACUUCCGAGUUGAAUAUCUUGGAGCAUAGACAUGCUAGAAGAAUUUUUCCAAGUGGGAGUGUCUAGAAAAAUGACUGCCACAAACUGUUCUAUGCAAACAUACCCACUUAUUGCAGGCACCAAAAUUUCAAUAUUCUUAGUUGAUUGGGCAGCUGACAGCAUUAUUGCCUUACUUUGUGUUCCCCUGGACAAAUAACUCAUAUGCAAAAGCAGUUUUCUGUUCUUAAGGCUGAAUUUUAUACAAGCACAAAGCACGUCUCUGAAUGGGUCAGUGCUGCUUUUUAAGGUUUUAUGUCAAGUUUAAUUUAUGUGUAAUCUGUAGUUCCCUUAAAAUUGAACUUUUUGCAUUACAAUUAGGCUGGAGCAGAUGAAUGGUUUUAUUUUCACUGUAAUAUUGACUGAAUAUUUUGUAUUAUUGUUCUUGUAACCUUAUUUCAUUGUAUUCUCAAAUAUAUAGCCAUAAGUGCAAUCAAGUGAUUUUCUAUUGUCAUACUUAAUCAUACCUAACUUUGCCAAUACCUAACCAUUUGUGAUAUAUUAGUGAUACCUAACCAUGUUUAACAUUGGUAAUGAUGACUGACAGAAGGCAUUCUGGAAUACUCUAGCGUUUUUAACUUCACUGUGUCUUUGUGCGAGUAUUUUGGGAUGGAAUUAGAAUAUGGGGUGUUGCUAAAAUCGCAAUUCGGUUGUCAAACACACAUUUGUGGUGAAACCCAAUAAUUUCAACUAUUCAUGGUUCUAACAUACCUAAAUUUAGGCGGACUGGAUGAGAAAAAAAUCAAUUGUUCGACUGCUGCUUUUUGUCUGUAGCAAAUUUUCUACCUUUAUAUAUUUGCUACUGGGCCAAUGUGUUUGCUAAGCUAGCCUUCUAAAUUUCGUUGCACUGAUAGAAGUCUGCUCGAAGAGAACAGUUUGUGCCUUUUUUAUGUGUGCAGGUUUCGGGACCAAGUAUCUGGCCAGCCCCUCAAUUGCUUUGUAUAAUUAUAGUUACUAAAUAGCAUGCAAAUUUUGGGACAAAGCGUACAGUCAUUGUUAUGUAUAAUAAAGGUUACAGGUAUACAACAA